rnacentral:rRNA from 1 species
UACGUAGGGGGCAAGCGUUGUCCGGAAUCACUGGGUGUAAAGGGUGCGUAGGCGGAUUUGUAAGUCAGAGGUGAAAGCCCACGGCUUAACCGUGGAACUGCCUUUGAUACUGCAAGUCUUGAGUCCUGGAGGGGCUGGCGGAAUUCGUGGUGUAGCGGUGAAAUGCGUAGAUAUCAGGAGGAACACCAGUGGCGAAGGCGGCUUUCUGGACGGUAACUGACGCUGAGACGCGAAAGCGUGGGGAGCAAACAGG